ensembl:ncRNA C05C9.10 ncRNA
AUAUCUUUGUUUUCUUGAAUGAUGAAGAAAGGAGAAGUGAAAGUCACUAAAUACUUGGAGCAUUCGUAGGGGCCCGAUCAUGCCAAUGAAAAAUGGCCUUCGGAAUUUGAGACAAAUCAUUUAGCAAGCACCGCGU